rnacentral:rRNA from 1 species
UACGAGGGGGGCGAGCGUUGUUCGGAAUUAUUGGGCGUAAAGGGUGCGUAGGCGGUUUGGUAAGUCUUAUGUGAAAUCUACAGGCUCAACUUGUAGUCUGCAUGAGAAACUGCCGGGCUUGAGUAUGGGAGAGGUGAGUGGAAUUCCUGGUGUAGCGGUGAAAUGCGUAGAUAUCAGGAGGAACACCGGUGGCGAAGGCGGUCUGCUGGGCCAAGACUGACGCUGAGGCGCGACAGCGUGGGGAGCAAACAGG